rnacentral:rRNA from 1 species
AUUCGGUCGGGAACUCAAAGGAGACUGCCGGUGAUAAACCGGAGGAAGGUGGGGACGACGUCAAGUCAUCAUGGCCCUUACGGGUAGGGCUACACACGUGCUACAAUGGCGCGUACAGAGGGCAGCGAACUUGCGAGAGUAAGCCAAUCCCAAAAAGCUGCGUCGUAGUCCGGAUCGGAGUCUGCAACUCGACUCCGUGAAGUCGGAAUCGCUAGUAAUCGUGGAUCAGAAUGCCACGGUGAAUACGUUCCCGGGCCUUGUACACACCGCCCGUCACACCAUGAGAGUGGGUUGCUCCAGAAGUAGAUAGCUUAACCUUCGGGGGGGCGUUUACCACGGAGUGAUUCAUGACUGGGGU